rnacentral:rRNA from 1 species
UCUAAUGGACAAGUUAAUAUAAAAACUCUAAAGUUAAACGUGCUCGGGCUAGAGUAGUACUAUGUUGGGUGACCUCCUUGGAAGUUAGGUUGUAUCAUGC